rnacentral:rRNA from 1 species
UUCGGAGGUACUCGAGUGGCGAACGGGUGAGUAACACGUGGGCAAUCUGCCCUGCACUUCGGGAUAAGCCUGGGAAACUGGGUCUAAUACCGAAUAGGACCUUUAGACGCAUGUCUUUUGGUGGAAAGCUUUUGCGGUGUGGGAUGGGCCCGCGGCCUAUCAGCUUGUUGGUGGGGUGAUGGCCUACCAAGGCGACGACGGGUAGCCGGCCUGAGAGGGUGUCCGGCCACACUGGGACUGAGAUACGGCCCAGACUCCUACGGGAGGCAGCAGUGGGGAAUAUUGCACAAUGGGCGCAAGCCUGAUGCAGCGACGCCGCGUGGGGGAUGACGGCCUUCGGGUUGUAAACCUCUUUCACCAUCGACGAAGGUCCGGGUUUUCUCGGAUUGACGGUAGGUGGAGAAGAAGCAACGGCCAACUACGUGGCAGCAGCCGCCGUAAUACGUAGGGUGCGAGCGUUGUCCGGAAUUACUGGGCGUAAAGAGCUCGUAGGUGGUUUGUCGCGUUGUUCGUGAAAUCUCACCGCUUAACUGUGAGCGUGCCGGCGAUACGGGCAGACUAGAGUACUGCAAGGGAGACUUGAAUUCCUGGUGUAACCGUGGAAUGCGCAGAUAUCAAGAGGAACACCGGUGGCGAAGGCGGGUCUCUGGGCAGUAACUGACGCUGAGGAGCGAAAGCGUGGGGAACGAACAGGAUUAGAUACCCUGGUAGUCCACGCCGUAAACGGUGGGUACUAGGUGUGGGUUUCUUUCCUUGGGAUCCGUGCCGUAGCUAACGCAUUAAGUACCCCGCCUGGGGAGUACGGCCGCAAGGCUAAAACUCAAAGGAAUUGACGGGGGCCCGCACAAGCGGCGGAGCAUGUGGAUUAAUUCGAUGCAACGCGAAGAACCUUACCUGGGUUUGACAUGCACAGGACGCGUCUAGAGAUAGGCGUUCCCUUGUGGCCUGUGUGCAGGUGGUGCAUGGCUGUCGUCAGCUCGUGUCGUGAGAUGUUGGGUUAAGUCCCGCAACGAGCGCAACCCUUGUCUCAUGUUGCCAGCGGGUAAUGCCGGGGACUCGUGAGAGACUGCCGGGGUCAACUCGGAGGAAGGUGGGGAUGACGUCAAGUCAUCAUGCCCCUUAUGUCCAGGGCUUCACACAUGCUACAAUGGCCGGUACAAAGGGCUGCGAUGCCGCAAGGUUAAGCGAAUCCUUUUAAAGCCGGUCUCAGUUCGGAUUGGGGUCUGCAACUCGACCCCAUGAAGUCGGAGUCGCUAGUAAUCGCAGAUCAGCAACGCUGCGGUGAAUACG